CUACGGGAGGCAGCAGUGAGGAAUAUUGCACAAUGGGGGGAACCCUGAUGCAGCAACGCCGCGUGGAGGAUGACGCAUUUCGGUGUGUAAACUCCUUUUAUAUGUCAAGAAAAUGACGGUAGCUUAUGAAUAAGCACCGGCUAACUCCGUGCCAGCAGCCGCGGUAAUACGGAGGGUGCAAGCGUUACUCGGAAUCACUGGGCGUAAAGGACGCGUAGGCGGGUUGGAAAGUCAGGUGUGAAAUCCUACAGCUUAACUGUAGAACUGCACUUGAAACUUCUAAUCUAGAGUAUGGGAGGGGGAGAUGGAAUUAGUGGUGGAGGGGUAAAAUCCGUAGAUAUCACUAGGAAUACCUAAAGCGAAGGCGAUCUCCUGGAACAUUACUGACGCUAAGGCGUGAAAGCGUGGGGAGCAAACAGGAUUAGAUACCCUUGUAGUC
rnacentral:rRNA from 1 species